AUAACUUCGGGAAACCGGAGCUAAUACCGGAUAAUAUAUUGAACCGCAUGGUUCAAUAGUGAAAGACGGUUUUGCUGUCACUUAUAGAUGGAUCCGCGCCGCAUUAGCUAGUUGGUAAGGUAACGGCUUACCAAGGCAACGAUGCGUAGCCGACCUGAGAGGGUGAUCGGCCACACUGGAACUGAGACACGGUCCAGACUCCUACGGGAGGCAGCAGUAGGGAAUCUUCCGCAAUGGGCGAAAGCCUGACGGAGCAACGCCGCGUGAGUGAUGAAGGUCUUCGGAUCGUAAAACUCUGUUAUUAGGGAAGAACAAAUGUGUAAGUAACUAUGCACGUCUUGACGGUACCUAAUCAGAAAGCCACGGCUAACUACGUGCCAGCAGCCGCGGUAAUACGUAGGUGGCAAGGCGUUUAUCCCGGAAAUUUAUUUGGGGCGUAAAAGCGGGGGGGUAGGGCGGGUUUUUUUAAAGUUCUGAAUGUGAAAAGCCCCACGGGCUCAACCCGGUGGAGGGGUCAUUGGAAAACUGGAAAAACUUGAGUGCCAGAAGAGGAAAAGUGGAAUUCCCAUGUGUAGCGGUGAAAUGCGCAGAGAUAUGGAGGAACACCAGUGGCGAAGGCGACUUUCUGGUCUGUAACUGACGCUGAUGUGCGAAAGCGUGGGGGAUCAAACAGGAUUAGAUACCCCUGGUAGUCCACGCCCGUAAACGAUGAAGUGCUAAGUGUUUAGGGGGGUUUCCGCCCCCUUUAGUGCUGCCAGCUAACCGCAUUAAAGCACUCCGCCCUGGGGAAGUACGACCGGCAAGGGUUGAAAACUCCAAAGGGAAUUUGAAGSGGGGAACCCGCACAAGCGGUGGAGCAUGUGGUUUAAUUCGAAGCAACGCGAAGAACCUUACCAAAUCUUGACAUCCUCUGACCCCUCUAGAGAUAGAGUUUUCCCCUUCGGGGGACAGAGUGACAGGUGGUGCAUGGUUGUCGUCAGCUCGUGUCGUGAGAUGUUGGGUUAAGUCCCGCAACGAGCG
rnacentral:rRNA from 1 species